UGACUACUGCGCCGGUACUGAGCCUGCUGCACUGGAUCUGUCCCUCAGAGAAAAUGAAGAGCUACAUGAUGAAACAUCAAGGCUUUGAAAACAAAUCGAGGAGAUCAGCAUCAGUAGCAAGUUCUGUUUGGAGUGGUUUUCUGCCUCUGAUGAGGACAUGCAAUUCUUUACCAGAUUUGCUAGUCAGGCCCACCUGAUGGCCUUUUGGAAGCAAAUAGAGCCUUCUACCCACAAGACUGUACGGGUUACAAGAGCACGCAGUGUAGUGAAGACGGAUCAGGUCCCUGACACUGCCAAUGCAACGCUUCUUCAACCAAUUGAUGAGUUCUUCCUGUUCAUGAACUACCUGUCAUUGGGAUUGAUGCAAAAGAAUUUGGCCCCCAGAUUUAGAAUGCAUCAGUCAGCUGUAAGCAUUAUUAAAGGUGC